GAUGAAGAACGUAGCGAAAUGCGAUAAGUAAUGUGAAUUGCAGAAUUCAGUGAAUCAUCGAAUCUUUGAACGCACCUUGCGCUCCUUGGUAUUCCGAGGAGCAUGCCUGUUUGAGUGUCAUUAAAUUCUCAACCAUUAUCAACUUUUGCUGAUAAUGGCUUGGAUGUGGGGGUCUAUUUUGCUGGCUUCUCAGAUAGUCAGCUCCCCUUAAAUGCAUUAGCCGGUGCCCCGCGUGGACUGUCUAUUGGUGUGAUAAUUAUCUACGCUAUAGACAUCUGCAAUCAUAUGGGUUUGCGCUGCUUCUAACAGUCUGUUGAUUCAGACAAUACAUGACAAUUUGACCUCAAAUCAGGUAGGACUACCCGCUGAACUUAAGCAUAUCAAUAAGCGGAGGA
rnacentral:misc_RNA from 1 species